rnacentral:rRNA from 1 species
GUAGUUUGAUCCUGGCUCAGGACGACGCUGGCGGCGUGCUUAACACAUGCAAGUCGAACGGAAAGGCCUGCAGCUUGCUGCGGGUACUCGAGUGGCGAACGGGUGAGUAACACGUGGGUGAUCUGCCCUCAACUUUGGGAUAAGCCUGGGAAACUGGGUCUAAUACCGGAUAGGAACAAUCUUUAGUGUGGUUGUUGGAAAGCUUUGCGGUUGGGGAUGAGCUCGCGGCCUAUCAGCUUGUUGGUGGGGUAAUGGCCUACCAAGGCGUCGACGGGUAGCCGGCCUGAGAGGGUGUACGGCCACAUUGGGACUGAGAUACGGCCCAGACUCCUACGGGAGGCAGCAGUGGGGAAUAUUGCACAAUGGGCGGAAGCCUGAUGCAGCGACGCCGCGUGGGGGAUGAAGGCCUUCGGGUUGUAAACUCCUUUCGACAGGGACGAAGCUUUUGUGACGGUACCUGUAUAAGAAGCACCGGCUAACUACGUG